CCCACUGUAGCUCAGUUGGUAGUGCAUGGCGCUUGCAACGCCAGGGUUGUGGGUUCGAUUCCCAUAGGGGGC
rfam:Salmo salar isolate Sally breed double haploid chromosome ssa10, whole genome shotgun sequence.